GGGCCCGCACAAGCGGCGGAGCAUGUGGCUUAAUUCGACGCAACGCGAAGAACCUUACCAAGGCUUGACAUAUACCGAAAACUCAUAGAGAUAUGGGGUCCGCAAGGGCGGUAUACAGGUGGUGCA
rnacentral:rRNA from 1 species